rnacentral:misc_RNA from 1 species
AAGGUAGCUCACCACCAUCACCACCACCGCCCCCUCUCUCUCUGAGAAGAGAAGCGUCUCCCUUGUAUCCCCGCUCUUGUUCUGCCGCUGCCGCAAAUAGUUUGGGCUCUGCUGUUGACAGAUCCUCACCCCCUCCUCGGCUGAUCUUCGGCGCGCACGCACACAAGCGCGUGCUCUCAUUCUCUCCGACAGCAAACACUCGGCAGCACACGCGCGCGUGGCUGUGCGGCUUCCACUACGAGGGUCCGUGUAUACCCCCCCCCCAACACACACGCAUACAGAGAGAGAUAAGCCAAGCUACCAAGUUCGAGCAUCAUGUCCAAAACCCUGCCCUCCAUUCAGGUCCAUCGUCCUGCUUCUGUGGAGCAAAGCCACUCUUACUCCCGCUUCUCUGCCCGCGGAGCAGGGCAUGAGGAGCAUCAUCGCUUCUACGCGUCCUCGGCGCGUGUGCGCUCGGCCAGUCCAGGGGCCACGGCCGACUCCCAGUUCACCGGGCUUUCAACGUUGCCGCGGCUGCCGCAGGUGGAAUUCUCACUGGGUCCCAUCCAGGAGCGCGUCAUUCCGCCCUACAACGACCUGGAGGACCCACACCUGGUUCCUUACUGGGCACGGAAAGAGAUGCUGAUUCACGAGCGCGCCGUUCAGCGCCGCCGCCUGCGUCGCCAGCAGGAGAUCGAGCAGCAGCGCAAGGCAACAGCGCGGCGCCGCUUCCUCCAGCGCCGUCAUCAGGAGCGGGAGGAAAUGGCGUCCCGGAAGGGCGAGCAAAGUCGUCAGCGGGAAGAGGAGCGUCAGUCGAUGAUUCACAACGCAUCCAAGAACUCGCGGCGUGUGCCGACGAAGCCGUUGAGCGAGCGUAAGAGCGGUGCCGCGGCAGGCGGGCGAUCCCGUCAGCAGGCCGCAGCGGCGGCAAGCCACCGCUACUAUGAAGCAGGCAGCGAGUUGCACGCGGUAGAUGUGGAAGAACGCGCGGCUGGCGGCUUGCCCGCAGACCAUGAAUACGUGACAAGCUCCUCGUCAGCGGCCACAAGUCGGAGUACUUCCUCCCACAGCGAUGAUGUCAGCAACCACAGAAGCCGCCGUCACGACGAGGGGCACUACGCUGAGGAGGACAGAGCCGCGGUGCCUGCAGCGCCGGAGGCGGCUGACGAGGAGAGGACGUACCUUGACGAAGCCGGCUACCCCACGGAAGCCGCGGAGAAGGCGGAUGCGGUGAAGAAGGCCGCCCCGCGCUCCAUCAGCUCGAGGUCCUCCUCGGCUUCCUCGUCCUCGUCCUCCAGCGAUCGCCAGUGCUCCGAUCACGAUCGCGCCGCCGAGGCGGCGAGAGAGCAAGCGAAGGCGGAAGCGCGCGCGGAGGCACAGGCAGAGGCACAAGCACAUGCAGGGGAGAAGUCAGAAGACUCCUACGGCGAUGAUGACUUCGAGCACGAGGUGUCGCCUUCGCGCCACCAGUCGUCUGCGGCUGCGUCGUCUAAGUCGUCCGCUGCUGCCUACUUUCUCUCUCACAAGGAUGUCAGCGAUGCGCAGGCCCUGCCAGAACAAGAGGAGGUCCACCCGCUCGAGGAGACGGAACAGGAAGCCAAGGAGGUGUACAGUGAUGAUGAGUUUGAGAAGAGCUCCGCCUCCAGCGAUGCCGCUGUCGAUGCAGCGGGUGCGCCUGUGGAUCCGCUGCCGCAGCAGCCGCCAUACACAGAGGAGGAAGAGAACGAACCGCCAGCCGCCGACAAGGCCGAUGAAGCAGCCAAGCCGGACGCUUACGAGGAGGACAGCUCGUCGCCAUCGAACCUGUCCUCCUCGAAGAUGAUCUCGCAUGACGCCGCAGACGCCGAUGUGCCGCUGGCUGAAGAGCACGAGGACCAGCCGGAAGCCUAUCCAGAGGAUGCGCAGUGGGCUGGAGAGGCUUUGAUGACCACCGAGGAUGCGAAGCCAGCGGAGGACGAGGACAACUUCGAGGAUGAACUGCCCUCCAAGAAGUCGUCGGUGGCCUCGUCCGCGCCGCGAUCGCCGACCGCGGGGUCGAGGAAGAGCGACGCCUCGGGCGCCGAUGUGCCGCUGGCUGAAGAGCACGAGGACCAGCCGGAAGCCUAUCCAGAGGAUGCGCAGUGGGCUGGAGAGGCUUUGAUGACCACCGAGGAUGCGAAGCCAGCGGAGGACGAGGACAAGUACAGCGAGGACGCCUUCUUCAAGGAUAGCGCCGCGGACAGUGCCGUCGCGGCGGAACCGCAGCUAUACAAUCGGCUGGAUGCCGCCGCCCACGACGACGACGCUGUGAAGGCCAAGAGCGACGUAGCCGACGACGCGUACGACGAGGACAACUUCGAGGAUGAACUGCCCUCCAAGAAGUCGUCGGUGGCCUCGUCCGCGCCGCGAUCGCCGGCCGCGGGGUCGAGGAAGAGCGACGCCUCGGGCGCCGAUGUGCCGCUGGCUGAAGAGCACGAGGACCAGCCGGAAGCCUAUCCAGAGGAUGCGCAGUGGGCUGGAGAGGCUUUGAUGACCACCGAGGAUGCGAAGCCAGCGGAGGACGAGGACAAGUACAGCGAGGACGCCUUCUUCAAGGAUAGCGCCGCGGACAGUGCCGUCGCGGCGGAACCGCAGCUAUACAAUCGGCUGGAUGCCGCCGCCCACGACGACGACGCUGUGAAGGCCAAGAGCGACGUAGCCGACGACGCGUACGACGAGGACAACUUCGAGGAUGAACUGCCCUCCAAGAAGUCGUCGGUGGCCUCGUCCGCGCCGCGAUCGCCGGCCGCGGGGUCGAGGAAGAGCGACGCCUCCAAGGAGGAUGUCGAGGACGAGUUUGAAGAGGAGCUCUCCCCGAGGAAGGCGGCCGAUGCGGAGCACAAGCGGAGGGGGUCAGCGAUGUCGUCGUCGGCUGUCGUGUCGUUGCCGAUGGCGCAGUCUGCGCCGUCGUUACCCUCCUCGUCUAUUUCAAACUCGGAGGUCGCCCCUGCGUUGGCCUCCGCUGUCACACCUGCAGCAGAAACGUUGCACAGGAACAGCGGAGCGGGCAUGGACGCCGAAGAGCUGGGCAGCGGCGCCAACGAUGCCUACGCAGAUGACUUCGAUGAUGAUAUGUAGUCAUGAGAGCGCACCGUUCGCAUCGCCCCUUCCUCCCUCUCCACCCUCCGGCUACGGUGGCCCCUCCUCCGCCUCCUUAACCUCUCUUAUCCACUCCAUAAGUAGGGGCUGGUCUGUGUGUGUAUGUGUGCGUGUGUCUCUGUGGCCUUCAACUUCGCGUUCUCUUUUCCUCUUGGUGUGUUUUCGGUCGAUGUACAGCUCGACGCCGCUGUCGGCUCUCUUCUGUGUGUGUGUGUGUUGUUGUCUGGUCCGUUGUUGUUUGUCUGCUCUGUUCACUGUGACCCUUUAAUUUUUUUGGACUUCACGCUGUACACAGGCACGCAAACAACGAGAGAAGAUAUGGGGAGGGGAGGCAGAUAGGAGAGCCUCCCCCGUCUCGCUACAUCCCCCUCCCCACACCGGUUCUACAGGCACGCACGCACAAAGGCUGAAACAUGCACAUCUGUUCUCUUCAGUGUCUGACGCCAGAAACAUGAAAACUACGCAGAACAAACAGAAAAUGGGCAGAUCUGUUCCUGCCGCGGAUACGGAUGAUCGUGUGAUUGGUUACAUAUGCGUAUGUGUCUGUGGUUGUGGGUGUGGGGGGAGUUGGGGCUGAUACCCCCCUCCCUCCCCUCCCCCUUACCCCGUCAAGCGGGCCUUAUUCUCGCAUUCACACGCGGCGCCUGAUAUAUAUAUAUAUAUAUAUAUAUAUAUGUAUGUACACAUGUAUAUAUGCACGCAAGUGUGUGGAUAAGAGUUUGAUGACUAUUCUUCUUCUUUACCUUUAUAGAGCCCCUAUUUGUUUAUUGGUUGCUCAUCAGCCUUCCUCUCCCUCUCCGUCCUCCUCCCUUCCUUCUUUUCCCCUGUCCAUGAGCACCAAG